rnacentral:tRNA from 1 species
UCCUUGUAUCGCAAUGGGUAGCGUGUUGGAUUUCUAAUCCAAAAGUCGUGGGUUCGAAUCCCAACUGGGAGAA